UACAGGGGUGCAAACGUUGCUCGGAAUCAUUGGGCGUAAAGCGCACGUAGGCGGUUCGUUAUGUCGGAUGUGAAAGCCCUUGGCUUAACCGAGGAAGUGCAUCCGAAACUGGCGAGCUAGAGUACGAAAGAGGAUCGCGGAAUUCCCGGUGUAGAGGUGAAAUUCGUAGAUAUCGGGAGGAACACCGGUGGCGAAGGCGGCGACCUGGUCCUUUACUGACGCUGAGGCGCGAAAGCGUGGGGAGCAAACAGG
rnacentral:rRNA from 1 species